AUCCCAUGUUGAGGACAUUUCCGUAGGAGCUCCUUGAACCUAUCCCAUGUCUUCAAAAGAGACUUCAAUUCCAUUUGCACAAAAGAGUAUAUUUCAUUCCUAAGCUU